rnacentral:rRNA from 1 species
UACGUAGGGGGCAAGCGUUGUCCGGAAUCAUUGGGCGUAAAGCGCGUGUAGGCGGCUCGAUAAGUCUGCUGUGAAAGUUCAGGGCUCAACCCUGAAAUGCCGGUGGAAACUGUCGAGCUAGAGUACGGAAGAGGUGAGUGGAAUUCCUGGUGUAGCGGUGAAAUGCGCAGAUAUCAGGAGGAACACCAAUGGCGAAGGCAGCUCACUGGGACGUUACUGACGCUGAGACGCGAAAGCUAGGGGAGCAAACAGG